GACGAACGCUGGCGGCGUGCUUAACACAUGCAAGUCGAACGGAAAGGCUCUGCUUGCUGGGUACUCGAGUGGCGAACGGGAGAGUAACACGUGGGUGAUCUGCCCUGCACUUCGGGAUAAGCCUGGGAAACUGGGUCUAAUACCGGAUAGGAGCCAUUCCUAGUGUGAUGGUUGGAAAGCUUUUUCGGUGUAGGAUGAGCUUGCGGCCUAUCAGCUUGUUGGUGGGGUAAUGGCCUACCAAGGCGGCGACGGGUAGCCGGCCUGAGAGGGUGGACGGCCACAUUGGGACUGAGAUACGGCCCAGACUCCUACGGGAGGCAGCAGUGGGGAAUGUUGCACAAUGGGCGCUAGCCUGAUGCAGCAACGCCGCGUGGGGGAUGACGGACUUCGGGUUGUAGUCUCCUUUCGCUAGGGACGAAGCUUUUUGUGACGGUACCUAGAUAAGAAGCACCGGCUAACUACGUG
rnacentral:rRNA from 1 species